GCGGAGGGAUCAUUACAGAGUUGCAAAACUCCCAAACCAUUGUGAACGUUACCAUUAUCGUUGCUUCGGCGGGCGGCGCCCAGCGCUCCCAGGCCCCCUCGCGGGGCGCCCGCCGGAGGUUACCUAACUCUUGACAACUGUAUGGCCUCUCUGAGUCUCUAUACUUAAUAAGUUAAAACUUUCAACAACGGAUCUCUUGGUUCUGGCAUCGAUGAAGAACGCAGCGAAAUGCGAUAAGUAAUGUGAAUUGCAGAAUUCAGUGAAUCAUCGAAUCUUUGAACGCACAUUGCGCCCGCCAGUAUUCUGGCGGGCAUGCCUGUUCGAGCGUCAUUUCAACCAUCAAGCCCCAGGCUUGUGUUGGGGACCUGCGGCUGCCGCAGGCCCUGAAAACCAGUGGCGGGCUCGCUAGUCACACCGAGCGUAGUAGCAUACACAUCGCUCAGGGCGUGCUGCGGGUUCCGGCCGUUAAACCCCUUUUUUACCCAAGGUUGACCUCGGAUCAGGUAGGAAGACCCGCUGAACUUAAGCAUAUCAAUAAGCGGAGGA
rnacentral:rRNA from 1 species